UAUGGCCAUAUCACUUCGAAACACCGGCUCGCGUACGUUCACAGAAGUUAAGCAACGUUGCGCCUGAUCAGUAUCUCGAUUGGUGACCGCUUGCGAAUACCAGGUUUCGUAA